UUCAAGCGAUUCUCCUGCCUCAGCCUCUCAGAUAGCAAGAUUCCUGUGCAUCAGCUUGGAAAUGAAGCAGCCACAAGCCCUUCCCUGAAGGUGCACGCAGGCUGGAGCCCCGGGGAUUUCCACAGCAGUCUUGGUCUCGGGAGAAGAGUGGGCCUGUCCCUGUUUUCCAGGUACCCUCUAACCUCGUGGAUUUUCACAUAUCUCCAGGGAAGGGGAGAGCAUGCUCUGUCCUGUUACCACGAAUCUAACUUUCAUUCCAGGCUCGAGGGUGAGGGUGCCAAAGCUGAGGUAACUUGAAAUAAA